rnacentral:rRNA from 1 species
CCUACGGGAGGCAGCAGUAGGGAAUAUUGGGCAAUGGACGCAAGUCUGACCCAGCCAUGCCGCGUGCAGGAAGAAGGCCUCUGGGUUGUAAACUGCUUUUAUCUGGGAAGCGGUACCAGAGGAAUAAGCACCGGCUAACUCCGUGCCAGCAGCCGCGGUAAUACGGAGGGUGCAAGCGUUGUCCGGAUUUAUUGGGUUUAAAGGGUGCGUAGGCGGCCCGGUAAGUCAGUGGUGAAAGCCUCCAGCUCAACUGGAGAACUGCCAUUGAUACUGCCGGGCUUGAGUACAGACGAGGUUGGCGGAAUUGAUUGUGUAGCGGUGAAAUGCAUAGAUACAAUCAAGAACUCCGAUUGCGUAGGCAGCUAACUAGGCUGUACUGACGCUGAGGCACGAAAGCGUGGGGAGCGAACAGGAUUAGAUACCCUUGUAGUC